CUCUGACCAGAGAGACAUCUAGCGGCUCCCCGCUCCCAGUCGCAGUCCAGUCUGUUCUGUGUCCACCUCUCGUUCUGUUAUCCAUGCGCUGUUACUAGAAGGGCCCGCAAUGCUGCGCUUCAUCACACGCCAGGUAAAGAGGCGACCACUGACCCAGACUGAGCGGCUACUGUCCUCACAACAGAGCCCUCCCCCUGCGGACGUCCCCACCGAGGCAGAUGUUGUUAUAAUAGGUGAGCAUUAUAAACUACAUUCUUA